rnacentral:rRNA from 1 species
GUCUAUGGCCAUGCUACCCUGAACAAGCCCGAUCCCAUCUGAUCUCGGAAGCUGAGCAGGGUCAGGCCUGGUUAGUACUUGGAUGGGAGACCACCUAGGAAGACCAGUUGCUGUAGGCG